AUCUCGCUGCACUGAACUUUCUGACUUCAUGUAGACAAAAUUUAUGUUUGCAGCUGUUGCUUUGACGCCACCUUAUGAAUAGACUAUCGAAACUCUUAUUUCUAGAACAGGCCAGUGCGUUUCUCGGAGAUACUGUGCAAGAAUGUGCAGCUUGCUCUUUAUCCACCUAUUACUUUUCUAUGCUUUGCUGGGUUACAUACCAGCCCAUACUAAGGCUAGUUAUGAAGAAAACGACGGGUUAUUUAUGUUCGACACUUCCUUGAAAAAACGCGUUGAAGUAAGUGAACGAAGGAAUCGGCGGGGCAGAUGGAACAGAGAUAUCGGCGAAAGAUGCACUAUGAACAGUGAUUGCCAACCGGAUCUAUGUUGUGUGUGGCAACGUCAAGCACCAAGAUGUCAAUUGCAGGCGGAAAUGGGAGAACGCUGCGGUUUUUUUCUAUUUGGGAGAAGCAUUUACAUUGGCCAUUGUGGCUGUGCAGUUUGGGGCGCGCGCUGUAUAGGAGGAAGAUGCAGAUAAUAAGGAUUUUUUACCUGCCACAUUGCACCAGAUACACGUCAAAGAAAUUAAUUUCUUCGUCAUAUGCUGAUAUGUCAAGACGUUUCUAUUUUACAACAUUGUAUUGAUGCAUUCGCUCACAGAAAAUAUCAACUGACAGAAACCUAAAUGCUUAUUUUAUUCUUUCAAGGCUAACCUCAAUGUUUUGUGAUUAAAGAGCUGUUUUCACAGUGAAAAGUAAAGCAAAUAAACAUACGUGUGCUCUAAAUAAAGCUAUCAAGAUG